rnacentral:rRNA from 1 species
GACGAACGCUGGCGGCGUGCCUAACACAUGCAAGUCGAACGGGGUAAUUUCUUCGGAGAUUACUUAGUGGCGAACGGGUGAGUAACGCGUGAGAAACCUGCCUUUCAGUGGGGGACAACAGUUGGAAACGACUGCUAAUACCGUAUAAUGUCAUUUGGGGGCAUCCCUGAAUGACCAAAGAUUUAUUGCUGAAAGAUGGUCUCGCGUCUGAUUAGCUAGUUGGUGAGGUAACGGCUCACCAAGGCGACGAUCAGUAGCCGGUCUGAGGGGGUGAACGGCCACAUUUGGACUGAGAUACGGCCCAGAGUCCUACGGGAGGCAGCAGUGGGGAAUAUUGGGCAAUGGGGGAAACCCUGACCCAGCAACGCCGCGUGAAGGAAGAAGGCCUUCGGGUUGUAAACUUCUUUUACCAGGGACGAACAAAUGACGGUACCUGAGAAAAAGCAACGGCUAACUACGUGCCAGCCGCCGCCGUAAGAC